UGGGGAAUCUUGCGCAAUGGGGGAAACCCUGACGCAGCGACGCCGCGUGCGGGAUGAAGGCCUUCGGGUUGUAAACCGCUUUCAGCAGGGACGAGGCCUUAUGGUGACGGUGCGUGCACAAGAAGCUCCUGCGAAAUACGUGCCGGCAGCCGCGGUAAGACGCAUGGAGCAAGCGUUAUCCGGGUUCAUUGGGCGUAAAGCGCUCGUAGGCGGUCUGUUAGGUCGGCAAGUUAAAUCCGGGGGCUCAACCCCCGUCCGCUCCCGAUACCGGCAGACUAGAGUUUGGUAGGGGGGGGUGGAAUUCCUGGUGUAGCGGUGAAAUGCGCAGAUAUCAGGAAGAACACCGGUGGCGAAGGCGGCCUUCUGGGCGAUAACUGACGCUGAGGAGCGAAAGAUAGGGGAGCGAACAGG
rnacentral:rRNA from 1 species